UGACCCAGCUCAGUCAUUUCAUAUCACCAGACUUCAGAAACGGGUAUGCAGGAGAUUAGAAGCCAGUGGGCAUGAGCGUGGCUGCCACCAGGUGAAUGCCUGUGCCCUGGCGUCCUGGGGCCCAGAGGACCGGGAGCUUCCAUCAAGAGGCUGCCUCCCAGCACCAAGGCCAGAGAGUGGCCAGGGGAGGCUAAGUACAGGGAUUUCUCAGAAUGGUGGAAGGAGCUCAGCCCAGCCUUGCCCAAGAUGUAUUGCAGGGGAAUCUGUAAGUGCAUUAACCUUCUUGCUGUGACAUAAA
rnacentral:lncRNA from 1 species